UACGUAGGGGGCUAGCGUUGUCCGGAAUCAUUGGGCGUAAAGAGCGUGUAGGCGGUCCGGUAAGUCCGCUGUGAAAGUCGGGGGCUCAACCCUCGAAUGCCGGUGGAUACUGUCGGGCUAGAGUGCGGAAGAGGCGAGUGGAAUUCCUGGUGUAGCGGUGAAAUGCGCAGAUAUCAGGAGGAACACCAAUUGCGAAGGCAGCUCGCUGGAACGUAACUGACGCUGAGACGCGAAAGCGUGGGGAGCAAACAGG
rnacentral:rRNA from 1 species